rnacentral:rRNA from 1 species
AUUGAACGCUGGCGGCAUGCUUUACACAUGCAAGUCGAACGGCAGCGCGGGCUUCGGCCUGGCGGCGCGUGGCGGACGGGCGAGUAAUACAUCGGAACGUGCCCAGUAGUGGGGGCUAGCUCGGCGACGGCCGGAUUAAUACCGCAUACGACCUGAGGGUGAAAGCGGGGGAUCUUCGGACCUCGCGCUAUUGGAGCGGCCGAUGGCAGAUUAGCUAGUUGGUGGGGUAAAGGCCUACCAAGGCGACGAUCUGUAGCUGGUCUGAGAGGACGACCAGCCACACUGGAACUGAGACACGGCCCAGACUCCUACGGGAGGCAGCAGUGGGGAAUUUUGGACAAUGGGCGAAAGCCUGAUCCAGCAAUGCCGCGUGAGUGAUGAAGGCCUUCGGGUUGUAAAGCACUUUUGGCGGGAACGAAAAGGACUGUGCCAAUACCACGGUGCGAUGACGGUACCCGAAGAAUAAGCACCGGCUAACUACGUG